AGUCUACAAUUUUUGAAUACUUCAUCAGAAACUUUAGUGAAGAAUCUAGCUGAUUGUGAUGACUAU